rnacentral:rRNA from 1 species
UACCAGCACCCCGAGUGGUCGGGACAUUUAUUGGGCCUAAAGCAUCCGUAGCCGGUUCUGCAAGUCUUCCGUUAAAUCCACCUGCUUAACAGAUGGGCCGCGGAAGAUACUAUAGAGCUAGGAGGCGGGAGAGGCAAGCGGUACUCGAUGGGUAGGGGUAAAAUCCGUUGAUCCAUUGAAGACCACCAGUGGCGAAGGCGGCUUGCCAGAACGCGCUCGACGGUGAGGGAUGAAAGCUGGGGGAGCAAACCGG